rnacentral:rRNA from 1 species
UCUUCGGAGAGUUUGAUCCUGGCUCAGGACGAACGCUGGCGGCGUGCCUAAUACAUGCAAGUCGAGCGAAUCGAUGGGAGCUUGCUCCCUGAGAUUAGCGGCGGACGGGUGAGUAACACGUGGGCAACCUGCCUAUAAGACUGGGAUAACUUCGGGAAACCGGAGCUAAUACCGGAUACGUUCUUUUCUCGCAUGAGAGA